rnacentral:misc_RNA from 1 species
AACUUUCAACAACGGAUCUCUUGGCUCUCGCAUCGAUGAAGAACGCAGCGAAAUGCGAUACGUAAUGUGAAUUGCAGAAUUCAGUGAAUCAUCUAAUCUUUGAACGCACCUUGCGCCCCUUGGUAUUCCGAGGGGCACACCCGUUUGAGUGUCGUGAAUACUCUCAACCUUCUUGGUUUCUUUGACCACGAAGGCUUGGACUUUGGAGGUUUUUCUUGCUGGCCUCUUUAGAAGCCAGCGCCUCCUAAAUGAAUGGGUGGGGUCCGCUUUGCUGAUCCUCGACGUGAUAAGCAUUUCUUCUACGUCUCAGUGUCAGCUCGGAACCCGCUUUCCAACCGUCUUUGGACAAAGACAAUGUUCGAGUUGCGACUCGACCUUACAAACCUUGACCUCAAAUCGGGUGAGACUACCCGCUGAACUUAAGCAUAUCAAUAAGCGGAGGCU